CGGAGGGUGCAAACGUUGCUCGGAAUCAUUGGGCGUAAAGCGCACGUAGGCGGCGAAGCAAGUCGGGUGUGAAAGCCCUGGGCUCAACCCAGGAAGUGCAUUCGAAACUAUUUCGCUUGAAUCUCGGAGGGGGUCAGAGAAUUCCCGGUGUAGAGGUGAAAUUCGUAGAUAUCGGGAGGAAUACCAGUGGCGAAGGCGCUGACCUGGACGAAGAUUGACGCUGAGGUGCGAAAGCGCGGGGAGCAAACAGGAUUAGAUACCCUGGUAGUCCGCGCUGUAAACGAUGAGUGCUAGACGGUGGAGGUAUUGACCCCUUCGCUGCCGAAGCUAACGCGUUAAGCACUCCGCCUGGGGAGUACGGUCGCAAGACUA
rnacentral:rRNA from 1 species